UAUAAUUGUCAGCUAAGUGGCGCACGGGUGAGUAAUGUAUAGAUAACCUGCCCUUAAGAAAGGAAUAACAGUUGGAAACGACUGCUAAUGCCCUAUAUGCCUUUAAUACAUAAGUAUGCAAGGGAAACGCUUUAGUGCUUAAGGAUGGGUCUGUAUGGUAUCAGCUUGUUGGUGAGGUAAUGGCUCACCAAGGCUAUGACGCCUAACUGGUUUGAGAGGAUGAUCAGUCACACUGGAACUGAGACACGGCCCAGACUCCUACGGGAGGCAGCAGUGGGGAAUAUUGCACAAUGGACGAAAGUCUGAUGCAGCAACGCCGCGUGGAGGAUGACACAUUUCGGUGCGUAAACUCCUUUUAUAUAGGAAGAUAAUGACGGUACUAUAUGAAUAAGCACCGGCUAACUCCGUGCCAGCAGCCGCGGUAAUACGGAGGGUGCAAGCGUUACUCGGAAUCACUGGGCGUAAAGAGCGUGUAGGCGGGUAUAUAAGUCAGAAGUGAAAUCCAAUAGCUCAACUAUUGAACUGCUUUUGAAACUGUAUACCUAGAAUGUGGGAGAGGUAGAUGGAAUUUCUGGUGUAGGGGUAAAAUCCGUAGAGAUCAGAAGGAAUACCGAUUGCGAAGGCGAUCUACUGGAACAUUAUUGACGCUGAGACGCGAAAGCGUGGGGAGCAAACAGGAUUAGAUACCCUGGUAGUCCACGCCCUAAACGAUGUACACUAGUUGUUGUGAGGCUCGACCUUGCAGUAAUGCAGUUAACACAUUAAGUGUACCGCCUGGGGAGUACGGUCGCAAGAUUAAA
rnacentral:rRNA from 1 species